rnacentral:rRNA from 1 species
AGAAACCAACAGGGAUUGCCCUAGUAACGGCGAGUGAAGCGGCAACAGCUCAAAUUUGAAAUCUGGCUCUUUCAGGGGUCCGAGUUGUAAUUUGCAGAGGAUGCCGUCGGGUACGGGUACCUUCCGAGUUCCCUGGAACGGGACGCCAUAGAGGGUGAGAGGCCCCGUCUGGUCGGAUACCCAGCCCGUGUGAGGCUCCCUCGACGAGUCGAGUAGUUUGGGAAUGCUGCUCUAAUGGGAGGUAUACUCCUUCCAAGGCUAAAUACCGGCUAGAGACCGAUAGCGCACAAGUAGAGUGAUCGAAAGAUGAAAAGCACUUUGAAAAGAGAGUCAAAUAGCACGUGAAAUUGUUGAAAGGGAAGCGCUCGCUACCAGACUUGGGUUCGACGGCUCAACCAGCGCCACGCGCUGGGGCAUUCCGUCGGCCCAGGCCAGCAUCAGCUCUUCGUCGGGGGUAAAGGCGUCGGGAAUGUGGCUCUCCUCCGGGGGAGUGUUAUAGCCCGUCGCGUCAUACCCUUCGGGGGGCUGAGGUACGCGCUCCGCAAGGAUGCUGGCGUAAUGGUAGCUAACGACC